UAUCACGGGGGGCAGCAGUGAGGAAUAUUGGUCAAUGGUCGGGAGACUGAACCAGCCAAGCCGCGUGAGGGAUGAAGGUACAGAGUAUCGUAAACCUCUUUUGUCAGGGAACAAAGGCGGGGACGUGUCCCCGGAUGAGUGUACCUGAAGAAAAAGCAUCGGCUAACUCCGUGCCAGCAGCCGCGGUAAUACGGAGGAUGCGAGCGUUAUCCGGAUUUACUGGGGGUAAAGGGAGCGCAGGCGGAAUGUCAAGUCAGCGGUAAAAUUUCGGGGCUCAACCCCGUCGGGCCGUUGAAACUGGCGUU
rnacentral:rRNA from 1 species